rnacentral:rRNA from 1 species
UACGAAGGGGACUAGCGUUGUUCGGAAUUACUGGGCGUAAAGCGCACGUAGGCGGAUUUGUAAGUCAGGGGUGAAAUCCCGGGGCUCAACCUCGGAACUGCCUUUGAUACUGCAAAUCUCGAGUCCGAUAGAGGUGGGUGGAAUUCCUAGUGUAGAGGUGAAAUUCGUAGAUAUUGGGAAGAACACCGGUGGCGAAGGCGGCUCUCUGGACCGAUACUGACGCUGAGGCGCGAAAGCGUGGGGAGCAAACAGG